UACAGAGGUCCCAAGCGUUGUUCGGAUUCACUGGGCGUAAAGGGUGCGUAGGUGGCGGGGUAAGUUUGAUGUGAAAUCUCCGAGCUUAACUCGGAAAUGGCAUUGAAUACUACUCUGCUGGAGGGUCGGAGGGGAGACUGGAAUUUUCGGUGUAGCAGUGAAAUGCGUGGAUAUCGAAAGGAACACCAGUGGCGAAAGCGAGUCUCUGGACGACUCCUGACACUGAUGCACGAAAUCUACUGGAGCAAACAGG
rnacentral:rRNA from 1 species